AACUCAAAGGAAUUGACGGGGGCCCGCACAAGCGGUGGAGUAUGUGGUUUAAUUCGAUGCAACGCGAAGAACCUUACCAGGGCUUGACAUCCUGCGAAUCUCUGAGAAAUUGGAGAGUGCCUUCGGGAGCGCAGUGACAGGUGGUGCAUGGCUGUCGUCAGCUCGUGUCGUGAGAUGUUGGGUUAAGUCCCGCAACGAGCGCAACCCACGUCUUUAGUUGCCAGCAUUAAGUUGGGCACUCUAGAGAGACCGCCGGUGACAAACCGGAGGAAGGUGUGGACGACGUCAAGUCAUCAUGCCCCUUACGUCCUGGGCUACACACGUACUACAAUGCUACGGAUAAAGGGCAGCAAACUCGCGAGAGCUAGCAAAUCCCGUAAACCGUGGCUCAGUUCAGAUCGUAGGCUGCAACUCGCCUACGUGAAGUAGGAAUCGCUAGUAAUCGCAGGUCAGCAUACUGCGGUGAAUACGUUCCCGGGCCUUGUACACACCGCCCGUCACACCAUGGAAGUUGGCCACGCCCGAAGUCGUUACUCCAACCCUUGUGGAGGAGGACGCCGAAGGUGGGGCUGAUGACUGGGGUGAAGUCGUAACAAGGUAGCCGUACCGGAAGGUGCGGCUGGAUCACCUCCUAA
rnacentral:rRNA from 1 species